GGGUGUUUUGCUGGCAUGGUGCAGCAAGGCAGGUUAAUUACAUACGCAAGGUCGGGCCGCCUUGUG
rfam:Alcaligenes sp. EGD-AK7 Contig1, whole genome shotgun sequence.